rnacentral:rRNA from 1 species
AGUGAACGCUGGCGGUAGGCCUAACACAUGCAAGUCGAACGGCAGCACAGUAAGAGCUUGCUCUUACGGGUGGCGAGUGGCGGACGGGUGAGGCAUACAUCGGAAUCUACUUUUUCGUGGGGGAUAACGUAGGGAAACUGACGCUAAUACCGCAUACGACCUACGGGUGAAAGCAGGGGAUCUUCGGACCUUGCGCGAUUGAAUGAGCCGAUGUCGCAUUAGCUAGUUGGCGGGGUAAAGGCCCACCAAGGCGACGAUCCGUAGCUGGUCUGAGAGGAUGAUCAGCCACACUGGAACUGAGACACGGUCCAGACUCCUACGGGAGGCAGCAGUGGGGAAUAUUGGACAAUGGGCGCAAGCCUGAUCCAGCAAUACCGCGUGGGUGAAGAAGGCCUUCGGGUUGUAAAGCCCUUUUGUUGGGAAAGAAAAGCAGCAGGUUAAUACCCCGCUGUUCUGACGGUACCCAAAGAAUAAGCACCGGCUAACUUCGUG